UACGAAGGGGGCUAGCGUUGCUCGGAAUCACUGGGCGUAAAGCGCACGUAGGCGGAUUGUUAAGUCAGGGGUGAAAUCCUGGAGCUCAACUCCAGAACUGCCUUUGAUACUACUGGUCUUGAAUAUUGUUGAGGUGGGCGGAAUGUGUCAUGUAGCGGUGAAAUGCAUAGAUAUGACACAGAACACCGAUUGCGAAGGCAGCUCACUGGGCAAUGAUUGACGCUGAGGCACGAAAGCGUGGGGAUCAAACAGG
rnacentral:rRNA from 1 species